rnacentral:rRNA from 1 species
CAAUAGCGUAUAUUUAAGUUGCUGCAGUUAAAAAGCUCGUAGUUGGAUUUCGGGUGGGAAUGGCCGGUCCGCCGUUUCGGUGUGCACUUGCUACGCCCACCUUGCUGCCGGGGACGUGCUCUUGAGUUCACGCUCGGGACACGGAGUCGGCGAGGUUACUUUGAGUAAAUUAGAGUGUUCAAAACAGGCCUACGCUCUGAAUACAUUAGCAUGGAAUAACACGAUAGGACUCUGGCCUAUCUUGUUGGUCUGUAGGACCGGAGUAAUGAUUAAGAGGGACAGUCGGGGGCAUUCGCAUUUCAUUGUCAGAGGUGAAAUUCUUGGAUUUAUGAAAGACGAACUACUACGAAAGCAUUUGCCAAGGAUGUUUUCAUUAA